GAGGCACAAGACGCUACCCAGAAGCCGCGUCUUGGUGCGCAUUCCCGUUCAUCCGCGAGGGCGACCCACUGCCCCUUCUGAGGACCGGUGAGCCCUUGGUCCGUGAAUAAAAAAUAUGCAUCUUUGAACUGAGGAAAUAUACGGUGGUUUCAAUCACACAUGCCUCCUGUGGUUGAUGGGGCUGCCAAGAGCUCUGUAUUCUGAGAUUGGAGCGAGGUUCAGCGAGAAGGAUCCGCGCUGCAUCUGUGGUGGCCCAGGGCUGGCCAUCUUAGUAAGCUCCACCGAAGGAAUCUGCCUGUAACAGGAGAAGAGAUCAACAUGCAGAGAAAAUCUGAGCCAAAAAUGAAGCUAGAGAGAGAAAGAGAGUGGCCUAAAAAUAUUGAUUGUGCUGGACUCAGGUAUAUACUCGAAAGUGGAAUUACUGGAUCAUAUGCACUUUGAAUAUUGGUGUGAACUGAAUUGUGUCCCCCCCUCAAAUUUAUAUGUUGAAGUCCUAACCCCAAUUACCAUGGAUGUGACUGUAUUUGAAGAUAUGGUCUUUAAGGAGGUGAUUAAGUUUCAAUGAGGCUGUUAAGAUGGUUCCUAAUCCAAUCUGACUGAUGUCCUUAUAAGAAGGGAAAGUUUGGACACAAAAAGAGACACCAUGGAUGAUAGUCAUGGACAAAGGGAUGACCAUGUGAAGAGACAGCAAGAG